rnacentral:rRNA from 1 species
AUUGAACGCUGGCGGCAGGCCUAACACAUGCAAGUCGAACGAGUGGCGGACGGGUGAGUAAUGUCUGGGAAACUGCCUGAUGGAGGGGGAUAACUACUGGAAACGGUAGCUAAUACCGCAUACCAUCAGAUGUGCCCAGAUGGGAUUAGCUAGUUGGUGGGGUAAUGGCUCACCAAGGCGACGAUCCCUAGCUGGUCUGAGAGGUUGACCGGCCACACUGGAACUGAGACACGGUCCCGACUCCUACGGGAGGGAGCCGUGGGGAAAUUUUGCCAAUGGGGGAAAGCCUGACGGAGCACAGCCGCGUGUGUGAAGAAGGUCUUCGGGUUGUAAAAGUCUUUUAUCGGGGAAGCGGUACCCGCCAAAAAAGCCACGGCUAACUCCGUGCCAGCAGCCGCGGUAAUAC